rnacentral:rRNA from 1 species
AUUGAACGCUGGCGGCACGCCUAACACAUGCAAGUCGAGCGGUAGCAGGACCUGUAGCAAUACAGGUUGCUGACGAGCGGCGGACGGGUGAGGAAUACGUAGGAACUUGCCCUUCAGUGGGGGAUAACCAAGGGAAACUUUGGCUAAUACCGCAUAAUCUCGGGAGAGUAAAGCUGCCGCAAGGUGGUGCUGAAGGAGAGGCCUGCGUCCGAUUAGCUAGUUGGUGAGGUAAGAGCUCACCAAGGCGAUGAUCGGUAACUGGUCUGAGAGGACGAACAGUCACACUGGGACUGAGACACGGCCCAGACUCCUACGGGAGGCAGCAGUGGGGAAUAUUGGACAAUGGGGGCAACCCUGAUCCAGCGAUGCCGCGUGAGUGAAGAAGGCCCUCGGGUCGUAAAGCUCUUUAGGUUGGGAAGAAGGUUGUUGGAGGAAAUGCUAGUAACUUGACGGUACCGACAGAAUAAGCACCGGCAAACUCUGUGCCAGCAGCCGCAGUAA